rnacentral:rRNA from 1 species
GUUGUAAAGCACUUUCAGCGGGGAGGAAGGCGGUGAGGUUAAUAACCUCAUCGAUUGACGUUACCCGCAGAAGAAGCACCGGCUAACUCCGUGCCAGCAGCCGCGGUAAUACGGAGGGUGCAAGCGUUAAUCGGAAUUACUGGGCGUAAAGCGCACGCAGGCGGUCUGUCAAGUCGGAUGUGAAAUCCCCGGGCUUAACCUGGGAACUGCAUUCGAAACUGGCAGGCUAGAGUCUUGUAGAGGGGGGUAGAAUUCCAGGUGUAGCGGUGAAAUGCGUAGAGAUCUGGAGGAAUACCGGUGGC